UGCGUAGGCGGUUUCGCAAGUUUGGUGUGAAAUCUCCCGGCUCAACUGGGAGGGUGCGCCGAAAACUGCGAGGCUGGAGUGUGGGAGAGGUAAGCGGAAUUCCUGGUGUAGCGGUGAAAUGCGUAGAUAUCAGGAGGAACACCGGCGGUGUAGACGGCUUACUGGACCACGACUGACGCUGAGGCACGAAAGCGUGGGGAGCAAACAGGAUUAGAUACCCUGGUAGUCCACGCCCUAAACGAUGCACACUUGGUGUGAGCGAUUCAUUUCGUUCGUGCCGGAGCUAACGCGUUAAGUGUGCCGCCUGGGGAGUACGGUCGCAAGGCUGAA
rnacentral:rRNA from 1 species